UCCGCAGGUAAGGAAAAUGCCUGUUCGCAGCACUGCCGAAGACUACGCAGAUGAGACAUGGUACCCUCACCUCUGUCAGCCUGAUGUCCUCCCGUCAUGUUCAGUGAGUGUUCCAUAACAUCGCUCCGCUUCAUCAGAGCUUGUGUUGAGGUAAUCAAGGGUUUUGUAUAAAAGAACCGAAGUUUGUGUCACACACACAGUGGAGUGUGUGUUGUGUGCCGAAUAAUGAGCCGAAUCCAGCCAGAGCUCCUCAAGAGACAGGUGGUCCUGCAUCUGUGGAAUUACCUGCCCUGUUCCAAAGCCAAUGAAACAAGGGCAAAGUUUCUCAGGUCUGCCAUCUUACUUUGACUGCAGUGUCACUCUGAUGUGAUUGCAUAAGCCUGACGUAAUGCACAGAACCAUGCAGCUGUGGUCUGGGUUUCUUCUGGAUUUGUUUGCAGCACAACAUUCUGCCUUCUCCUUUGAGUUACUUUUGAAUGUUAAGAUGUUAUGAAGAACAGUCAAUAGAAAAAGCAGGGGAAAAAAGCA